CCUGGCGGCCAUAGCGCGGUGGGACCACCUGAACCCAUGCCGAACUCAGAAGUGAAACGCCGUAGCGCCGAUGGUAGUGUGGGGUCUCCCCAUGCGAGAGUAGGACACUGCCAGGC
rnacentral:rRNA from 4 species